GCUGCUUCUCUUUGCUCUCUUUGUCUGCAUCUCAGGUGAAUUGCAGCCAUGUGAUCAAACGCCCAAGCCUCUAUCCAUUAACCCUCGUCAAUGAAAAAAAUGGGGGGAACAAAAAGCAGUUUUGUGCUGCAAACAUGGGAAAAAAAUGAUAACAGAGAGCGAUGUGUGCGUCUUUCUCCCCUUAUGUCCAAGACAGCAGCGGCGGCCGCAGAGGAAGCAGGCGGCGGACUGGGAGACACUUUCUGCGCUCCUCGGAUCGACGGCUGGGAUUUUGGCCUCGGAGGUGUUGAUGGUGGAGUUUGGGCGAUUGAUGGUGGAGUUUGGGUGAUUGGUGGUGGAGCUGGAAGGAAGAUGCUGAUGGAGGGGAGGUGUGUGUGUGUGUCUGGGGGGUGGGGGGGGGACACCUUGCUCGCUGCAGCCGCCGGCGCAGGGAUUCCUGAGGCCUCUGAGGCUUGAGCUUUAGAUGAUCUCUGUGUGCUGCCGGACCCCCCCCCCCCCCCCGGCAGAUUCUCCACAGACCAUCCUGGAAGCAGAAUCCUGACGCCAUCCUUCCUGUGGAUUCGGUUUUCUGUUGAAGCUUGUAAAUAAAUCUUAUAAACUUUA